rnacentral:rRNA from 1 species
AAUAUAGAAGAUYUAUUCAAGAAUUUUGUGUAAAAUGUCGGCGAGCGGCGGACGGCUGAGUAACGCGUAGGAAUUUGCCCCAAAGUGAGGAAUAACUGCCCGAAAGGGUAGCUAAUGCCGCAUAUGGUCUUCGGAUUAAAGCCUUCGGGCGCUUUGGGAGAAGCCUGCGUUGGAUUAGGUAGUUGGUAGGGUAAUGGCCUACCAAGCCGACGAUCCAUAGCUGGUCUGAGAGGAUGAUCAGCCAGACUGGAACUGAGACACGGUCCAGACUCCUACGGGAGGCAGCAGUGAGGAAUCUUCCACAAUGGGCGAAAGCCUGAUGGAGCAACGCCGCGUGAAGGAUGAAGGCCUUCGGGUUGUAAACUUCUUUUAUGAGUGAAGAAUAUGACGGUAACUCAUGAAUAAGCACCGGCUAACUACGUGCCAGCAGCCGCGGUCAUACGUAGGGUGCAAGCAUUAUCCGGAGUGACUGGGCGUAAAGAGUUGCGUAGGCGGUUUAAUAAGUGAAUAGUGAAACCUGGUGGCUCAACCAUACAGACUAUUAUUCAAACUGUUAAGCUCGAGAAUGGU